rnacentral:rRNA from 1 species
ACGUACACUCCUACGGGAGGCAGCAGUGGGGAAUAUUGGACAAUGGGCGCAAGCCUGAUCCAGCCAUGCCGCGUGAGUGAUGAAGGCCCUAGGGUUGUAAAGCUCUUUCACCGGUGAAGAUAAUGACGGUAACCGGAGAAGAAGCCCCGGCUAACUUCGUGCCAGCAGCCGCGGUAAUACGAAGGGGGCUAGCGUUGUUCGGAUUUACUGGGCGUAAAGCGCACGUAGGCGGACUAUUAAGUCAGGGGUGAAAUCCCGGGGCUCAACCCCGGAACUGCCUUUGAUACUGGUAGUCUUGAGUUCGAGAGAGGUGAGUGGAAUUCCGAGUGUAGAGGUGAAAUUCGUAGAUAUUCGGAGGAACACCAGUGGCGAAGGCGGCUCACUGGCUCGAUACUGACGCUGAGGUGCGAAAGCGUGGGGAGCAAACAGGAUUAGAAACCCCAGUUAGUCCCAUGA